GGCAGCCGCGGUAAUUCCAGCUCCAAUAGCGUAUAUUAAAGUUGUUGCAGUUAAAAAGCUCGUAGUUGAAUUUCGGGGUCAGUAGGUUGGUCAUGCCACUGGUAUGUACUGGCCUCACUGAUUCCUCCUUCCUGAUGAGCCGUAAUGCCAUUAAUUUGGUGUUGCGAGGAAUCUGGACUGUUACUUUGAAAAAAUUAGAGUGUUUAAAGCAAGCUAACGCUUGAAUACAUUAGCAUGGAAUAAUGAAAUAGGACGUUCGAUCCUAUUUUGUUGGUUUCUAGGAUUGACGUAAUGAUUAAUAGGGAUAGUUGGGGGCAUUAGUAUUCAAUUGUCAGAGGUGAAAUUCUUGGAUUUAUUGAAGACUAACUACUGCGAAAGCAUUUGCCAAGGAUGUUUUCAUUAAUCAAGAACGAAAGUUAGGGGAUCGAAGACGAUCAGAUACCGUCGUAGUCUUAACCAUAAACUAUGCCGACUAGGGAUCGGAUGAUGUUAAUUUUUAAUGA
rnacentral:rRNA from 1 species